ACAGAACUGUUGUAUACGUGCUGGAGGACUGGGUUUGCUGCAAUU
rnacentral:sRNA from 1 species